rnacentral:rRNA from 1 species
UACGAAGGGGACUAGCGUUGUUCGGAAUCACUGGGCGUAAAGCGCACGUAGGCGGAUUCGUAAGUUAGGGGUGAAAGUCCCGGGGCUCAACCUCGGAACUGCCUUUGAUACUGCGGGUCUCGAGUCCGAUAGAGGUGGGUGGAAUUCCUAGUGUAGAGGUGAAAUUCGUAGAUAUUAGGAAGAACACCGGUGGCGAAGGCGGCCCACUGGAUCGGCACUGACGCUGAGGUGCGAAACGUGGGGAGCAAACAGGAUUAGAUCCCGGAGU